rnacentral:rRNA from 1 species
CCUACGGGUGGCAGCAGUGAGGAAUAUUGGUCAAUGGACGAGAGUCUGAACCAGCCAAGUAGCGUGAAGGAUGACUGCCCUAUGGGUUGUAAACUUCUUUUAUAUGGGAAUAAAACGUUCCACGUGUGGGAUUUUGUAUGUACCAUAUGAAUAAGGAUCGGCUAACUCCGUGCCAGCAGCCGCGGUAAUACGGAGGAUCCGAGCGUUAUCCGGAUUUAUUGGGUUUAAAGGGAGCGUAGGUGGAUUGUUAAGUCAGUUGUGAAAGUUUGCGGCUCAACCGUAAAAUUGCAGUUGAAACUGGCAGUCUUGAGUACAGUAGAGGUGGGCGGAAUUCGUGGUGUGGCGGUGAAAUGCUUAGAUAUCACGAAGAACUCCGAUUGCGAAGGCAGUUCACUGGACUGCAACUGACACUGAGGCUCGAAAGUGUGGGUAUCAAACAGGAUUAGAUACCCUAGUAGUC